rnacentral:rRNA from 1 species
AUGAACGCCAUCCUCCGCAUGCUGUCCGAUGCCGACGAGGGCGCCGUGGACCACUUCAUCCGGGCGUGGAUGAAGCAGGUUCGCGAGCUCGCAUACGACGCGGAGGAUUGUGUUCACCUUUACAUCCUCCGCAUCCGGUGCCGGCCGAGAGACGGCUUUCUCGUCUGGUCCAAGCGCAUCCUCACGACGCUCUUCACUCGCCGUCGGCUGGCUCGUGAGAUCCAGGAGCUCCGCGCCCGUGCUGUCGUGAUCAGUGAGCGUGAUGCGCGUUACGGCGUCAGCCGUAAGGCGCUGAGCCGCUCUACAUCUCCUUCUACCUCUGCGCCAGUGCUCCGCCAUGCGCGCAGCCUGGCAGCAAACGACCGUGACCAUCUCGUGGGCAUCACGGAGCAGGCUACCGAACUGGCCACGAUGGUUAAGGCUGUGAUUAACAGUGAGCGUGACAUGAAGCCCAAGGUGUUCUCCAUCGUGGGGUUCGGGGAGCUCGGGAAGACUACACUGGCGAUGGAGGUGUGCCAGCAGCUGGAGGCGGACUUCCAACGCCAAGCACAAGUUUCCGUGUCCCAGGCGUUCCGCGGCACAAAGGAUAUGGAGGGACUGCUGAGGCGCAUGCUUCGCCAAAUCGUGAAGCCAAAAGUAGAUAACGCGCAAGGUAUCAAGGAAGAAGAACCCCUAGAUGACAUCGACAACAAGGAUGAAGACGACCUCACUAACAUGCUCAAGGAGAUUCUGAAGGACAUGAGGUAA